AUGUUUUUACUAUAUAAAGUGAGAAAACAAUUCACCAUUUGUUAUAUGCAAAGUUAAAUCAUAAAUAAAAAUAUGGCUGAAAUUCUCAUGCUUUUUUAUAUUCCAAUCAUUUAUGUUUCAUUGUUUCUUGAUGUAAUUGAGGGUCUAAUAAAAGCAUGUGACACCGACGUUGAUUGUCAGAAAAAAUAUCCUGGUCCUUUUGAACAUCUUUUGAAGUGUAUUCAUGGUUAUUGUGUGUGCUUUCCUAGAAAUCCAGGUACUAUACAUAAUUUCUUUUGAAUAUUUAAGGUGAUUCUAGUGGCUACCCAAUUUAAUGGAUGUAUAGAUCCAUCAGCUAUUUGAAUUUUUAAUGGUUUAUCAAUUUUUUCCAAUUUACUAAAUAAUACUUUUGUUGCUAUACAAAUACUCGCUCAUGUAUCUAUAUAAGCUUCAGUUUCUUUAUUUUCUCUUUCAAUUUUUAUUUUAAUAUAAGUACUAUUCAGAUUUUGUUUCA